rnacentral:rRNA from 1 species
GACGAACGCUGGCGGCUUGCUUAACACAUGCAAGUCGAACGGAAAGGCCCUGCUUUUGUGGGGUGCUCGAGUGGCAAACGGGUGAGUAACACGUGAGUACCCUGCCCUUGACUUUGGGAUAACUUCAGGAAACUGGGGCUAAUCCCGGAUAGGAGCUCCUGCUGCAUGGUGGGGGUGGGAAAGUUUCAGCGGUUGGGGAUGGACUCGCGGCUUAUCAGCUUGUUGGUGGGGUAGUGGCUUACCAAGGCUUUGACGGGUAGCCGGCCUGAGGGGGUGACCGGCCACAUUGGGACUGAGAUACGGCCCAGACUCCUACGGGAGGCAGCAGUGGGGAAUAUUGCACAAUGGGCGGAAGCCUGAUGCAGCAACGCCGCGUGCGGGAUGACGGCCUUCGGGUUGUAAACCGCUUUCGCCUGUGACGAAGCGUGAGUGACGGUAAUGGGUAAAGAAGCACCGGCUAACUACGUG